GACGAACGCUGGCGGCGUGCUUAACACAUGCAAGUCGAACGAAGAGCGAUGGAAGCUUGCUUCUAUCAAUCUUAGUGGCGAACGGGUGAGUAACGCGUAAUCAACCUGCCCUUCAGAGGGGGACCACAGUUGGCACUGACUGCUAAUACCGCAUACGAACUAAACCGGGCAUCGAGGAAAGAUGAAAGGAGGCCUCCAUGUAUAAGCUAUCACUGAAGGGGGGGAUUGCGUCUGCUUAGCUAGUUGGAGGGGUAACGGCCUACCAAGGCGAAGAUAAGGAGCCGGGCUGAGAGGAUGAACGGCCACAUUGGGACUGAGACACGGCCCAGACUCCUACGGGAGGCAGCAGUGGGGAAUCUUCCGAAAUGGACGAAAGUCUUACGGAGCAACGCCGGGUGGGUGAUGACGGCCUUCGGGGUGUAAAGCUCUGUUAAUCGGGACGAAAGGCCUUCUUGCGAAUAGUGAGAAGGAUUGACGGUACCGGAAUAGAAAGCCACGGCUAACUACGUG
rnacentral:rRNA from 1 species